GAAAAGGAACAUUAAGAGAUAUUAGAUCAUUCAGGAAUGAGGAGCGGUCGUAUAGAGAACAUGAAAAGAAAAUGUGAUCUAGAUCACAUUUAUCGGAUUCACAUUCACACAUGUCAGUAGAUACAAUGCCUAAUCUGUUAAGAUGAACAGGAGUGCAAACAUGACCCAAACGCAUUCCUAUGAUAGAAUGGUUGGUUUAAAUGAAAUAAGUGGCUGAAGGUUAAAAUAUUUCCUGCCUUUUGAUUGACCAGUUUCAGUCCAAAGUCUAUUCCAACAAUCCUGAAGGUGAACUAUAGGAACAGCACCUAGAUCCUGGCAAAAAACUUUAUAAGGGAAAAUGUCGCCAUCGACCACGGCUUCAUUAGCUAGUUGGUCUGCUUUUAUAUUACCAGGAAUGUCGCUAUGGCUGGGGAUCCAUACAAACAACACAGAAAGACCAAAGUGAUUGCAUUUAUUUAAUAGAUUUCUUAAUUCUAUGACAACAGAAGAAAUGUUUUUUGAUUUAAAUGGGAACCUAUUGAGAGACUGUAAGGCACUUUUUGAAUCAGAGAAAAUUAUUGUUUUUGGAAGUUUAAAUAGAAUAAUAUAUUCAAUAGCCUUAAAAAUACCAUAACAUUCCCCAGUAAACACCGAUGUUUCCGGAGGUAGUUUAAUUUUCUGUGAUAUUUUAAAUUGAGCGUGAUAGACACCUACACCAACGGGAUCCGAGGAGGAAUGUUUAGACGCGUCUGUGUAAAUAUGAUGGUAAUCAACCCAAACAGUAUUUUUAAGAAGAUUAAACGAAAAAUUUGUACUAAUAUCGUGCUUAUUUAAAUCUGAGUUAAAAUUAAUUUCUGGAAGCAACAUUAAUGCUUCAAAGCUAGUACUGAAAAGAGGAUAAUUAAUGGAUCGAUGAAUAGGAGCUUUUAUGUUGAUAAAUUUCUUAAAACUAUUGAUUAGACAAGGUGGUUUUUUAUUUGACCAAUAUGCAGAUGAAUCUAUAUGAUGAGAAAGUUUCUGAAGUUUGUUAUAAAGAGAGUGAUUAAGAAAAUGAAAAGAUCGAAAUAUAAAUUUGUCUGCUAAAUAUUGACGACGUAGAUGUAGUGGAGGAUCACCACAUUCUACUUGAAGAGCAUUGAUAGGACUUGACCGCAUAGCACCAGAAACUACUCGUAAAGCUUUGGCCUGUAUGAGAUCUAGUUUUUUAAAUGUCUUAACACUACCAGGCUCCAGCAAGAAUGUACCAUAAUCUAAUAUACUUCUUAUAAGAGCAUUAUAUAACAAUUUCAUGCAAAAAGGGUGCGCACCCCACCAAACACCUGACAGACAUCUUAACAUAUUAAGAGUACGCUCACAUUUAGCAUUUAGGUAAUCACAAUGUAGGAUACCAGUUAGUUUCGAAUCUAAGACAAUUCCCAAAAACUUAACAUUAUCUUUAACUGGAAUCUGAUAACCCUCAUAAAAUAUAGAAAUAGGAGGAGGAGUUCUUGAUCUCGUGAAUAAAACUAUUGUACUUUUUUCAGGUGAUAGAUCAAGGCCAUUAAAGUCCAACCAAGUUUUUAAAUUUAUCAGCGGUUGUGUUAUAGAAGAACUAGCUUUUUCAAUAGAAAUAUCACGACAGUAAAUUAAUAGAUCAUCAGCAUACUGAAGAACAUUUACACUAUUAAGUGAUGAUUUUAAAUCGUGUGUAUAAAUAUUAUACAAUAUUGGGCUAAGUACUGAUCCCUGGGGGAGGCCCUUUGAAACAAGUCGAGUAAUUGACUUCCUGUCAUCUAGUUUCAGGAUUAUGUAUCUUUCGGAAAGCAUGUUUAUGAUAAAAUUUGUUAAUAGCAGAGGGUAACCAAUUAUUAAGUCUUCAGGAACGAAAGGUGGAGCCAAUUUAUCUAAAAAGCUAUUAACUAAAUGAAAAGGGAUUGAUUUUGGGGAUGAAUCUUUGUAUGCAGAUCUAAACCUUCUUAUAUUUUGCCAUACAAGAGAUGGUUUGACAUCAGCAUAUUUUCUUCUCUUUACUGCCACAGUACAUUCGUUAUCCCACCAAGGAGGAGAAGGAAUAAAACCCAAAGAGCUAUUUUUACUUGGAAAUAUCUCAUUGGCAACCUCAAUAAAGAUUCUUGCUAAAGAAUCUGCACACUGAGAUUCUGUACCUGGAUUAAUUUUUGGAAGUGUUGGAAAUGAUAAUAAUAGUGGGAAGUGAUCACAAUGA